rnacentral:rRNA from 1 species
CCUACGGGCGGCAGCAGUCGAGAAUCAUUCACAAUGGGGGAAACCCUGAUGGUGCGACGCCGCGUGGGGGAAUGAAGGUCUUCGGAUUGUAAACCCCUGUCAUGUGGGAGCAAAUUAAAAAGAUAGUACCACAAGAGGAAGAGACGGCUAACUCUGUGCCAGCAGCCGCGGUAAUACAGAGGUCUCAAGCGUUGUUCGGAAUCACUGGGCGUAAAGUGUGCGUAGGCUGUUUCGUAAGUCGUGUGUGAAAGGCGCGGGCUCAACCCGCGGACGGCACAUGAUACUGCGAGACUAGAGUAAUGGAGGGGGAACCGGAAUGCUCGGUGUAGCAGUGAAAUGCGUAGAUAUCGAGAGGAACACUCGUGGCGAAGGCGGGUUCCUGGACAUUAACUGACGCUGAGGCACGAAGGCCAGGGGAGCGAAAGGGAUUAGAUACCCCUGUAGUC